rnacentral:rRNA from 2 species
CAAUAAGCGGAGGAAAAGAAACCAACAGGGAUUGCCUCAGUAACGGCGAGUGAAGCGGCAAAAGCUCAAAUUUGAAAUCUGGCCCUUUCAGGGUCCGAGUUGUAAUUUGCAGAGGAUGCUUCGGGAGCGGCGGUGGUCUAAGUCCCCUGGAACGGGGCGUCGCAGAGGGUGAGAAUCCCGUCUUGGACCGCAUGCCCGUGACCGUGUGAAGCUCCUUCGACGAGUCGAGUUGUUUGGGAAUGCAGCUCAAAAUGGGUGGUAAAUUUCAUCUAAAGCUAAAUACUGGCUGGAGACCGAUAGCGCACAAGUAGAGUGAUCGAAAGGUUAAAAGCACCUUGAAAAGGGAGUUAAAUAGCACGUGAAAUUGUUGAAAGGGAAGCGCUUGCAACCAGACUCGGCCGCAGAGGCUCAGCGGGCACGUGUGCCCGUGCACUCCUCUGUGGCCGGGCCAGCAUCAGUUCUGACGGCCGGUCAAAGGCCCCUGGAAUGUAUCCUCCUCCGGGAGGUCUUAUAGCCAGGGGUGCAAUGCGGCCAGUUGGGACUGAGGAACGCGCUUCGGCACGGAUGCUGGCGUAAUGGUUGUAAGCGACCCGUCUUGAAACAC